rnacentral:rRNA from 1 species
UACGAAGGGGGCUAGCGUUGUUCGGAGUUACUGGGCGUAAAGGGCGCGUAGGCGGCCCUCCAAGUCGGGCGUGAAAGCCCACGGCUCAACCGUGGAAUUGCGCUCGAGACUGAAGGGCUCGAGGACGGGAGAGGAUGGUGGAAUUCCCAGUGUAGAGGUGAAAUGCGUAGAGAUCAGGAAGAACACCGGUGGCGAAAGCGCUCUGCUAGGCCGCAACUGACACUGAGGGACGAAAGCUAGGGGAGCGAAUGGG